rnacentral:rRNA from 1 species
ACUCCCCAGGCGGAUAACUUAAUGCGUUAGCUGCGCCACCGAAACUCUAAGAGCCCCGACAGCUAGUUAUCAUCGUUUACGGCGUGGACUACCAGGGUAUCUAAUCCUGUUUGCUCCCCACGCUUUCGCACUUCAGCGUCAAUACCAGUCCAGUGAGCCGCCUUCGCCACUGGUGUUCUUCCGAAUAUCUACGAAUUUCACCUCUACACUCGGAAUUCCACUCACCUCUCCUGGAUUCAAGCGAUGCAGUCUCAAAGGCAGUACUGGAGUUGAGCUCCAGGCUUUCACCUCUGACUUACAAAGCCGCCUACGUGCGCUUUACGCCCAGUAAUUCCGAACAACGCUAGCUCCCUCCGUAUUACCGCGGCUGCUGGCACGGAGUUAGCCGGAGCUUAUUCUCCCGGUACGGUCAUUAUCAUCCCGGGUAAAAGAGCUUUACAACCCUAAGGCCUUCAUCACUCACGCGGCAUUGCUGGAUCAGGCUUUCGCCCAUUGUCCAAUAUUCCCCACUGCUGCCUCCCGUAGGAGUC